rnacentral:rRNA from 1 species
GACGAACGCUGGCGGCGUGCCUAAUACAUGCAAGUUGAGCGAUGAAGAUUGGUGCUUGCACCAAUUUGAAGAGCAGCGAACGGGUGAGUAACGCGUGGGGAAUCUGCCUUUGAGCGGGGGACAACAUUUGGAAACGAAUGCUAAUACCGCAUAACAACUUUAAACAUAAGUUUUAAGUUUGAAAGAUGCAAUUGCAUCACUCAAAGAUGAUCCCGCGUUGUAUUAGCUAGUUGGUGAGGUAAAGGCUCACCAAGGCGAUGAUACAUAGCCGACCUGAGAGGGUGAUCGGCCACACUGGGACUGAGACACGGCCCAAACUCCUACGGGAGGCAGCAGUAGGGAAUCUUCGGCAAUGGACGAAAGUCUGACCGAGCAACGCCGCGUGAGUGAAGAAGGUUUUCGGAUCGUAAAACUCUGUUGGUAGAGAAGAACGUUGGUGAGAGUGGAAAGCUCAUCAAGUGACGGUAACUACCCAGAAAGGGACGGCUAACUACGUG